GAGACCCGGAGGCUGAGGCUGUAGGUGGGCUCCGCUGGGUAAAAGUUGCCGCAGCAGCUGUCCCUUGGCCCCAUCGCGAUUUAUUUUUCCCCCUUGCUUUCCGGGUCCCGGGAUCCCAAGUUUGUAACUAACGGGAGCGAAUCCACACCCGAGCAAAAUGUUUGCGAGUUUCAGGCGCCCUUAGUUGAAAGGCUGUAAUUAACAAGUCCGCUGUUUGCCAGCCAGGCGCCGUUGCAGGCGCUUUCUGUGGAUUGUCAUUUAUUUCUCACAGCAACCCUAGGAGGCUGUUAUCCUUGACAUCUGCAGCAGCCCUUCCAAGCUGUGGAGACCAGGUCAUCUGGAAUGCCCAUUUAUGUCAAUGGAAGAAAGAAAAAGGGGUCUCCUCCCAUCCUCACCACUGCAUUCUCCCACCAACCCUGCUCCUGUCCCACUUCCCACAACUCAGUUGUUGACAAUUUAACAGUGGGUUUCUGGAAACAGUGCUGCCUCCUUGAUGGUCUAACUAACUAC
rnacentral:lncRNA from 1 species